rnacentral:lncRNA from 1 species
ACAAAAAGAGGAAUAGGUGUGGGAUCUCCUCAGCGUCCGUGUCAGUACCAAAAAGGCUGCAGAAACCGUUUUGGCAUCUCCAUUCGGACUGUCUACAACAUCAAGAGUCCAUUAAGGAUGGGAACGGUGUUGAAAGGGCUUCUGUUGGUAGUAGUUACAACUUGAAGACUACUCUGUGCUUUCUCAGAUUAUGUGGAGGCCAAGAUCAAGGAAAACCUCACUGCCACAAUCUGCCAGAUGUCCAAGGAGAUGGAUGUGGACUACAAGAACAAACCUAAGGCUGCCCAUAACAACUUGCAACUGAAAUCAUAUGUACGAACGACAAACUCACUCCAUUAAGCUUUGGAAGCUUGACAGGUGUAAAAUGGUGCUCUCCUACAUCAAGACAAAUGGUCACUGAGUCCAGAUUUACUUGGAUAACAUUUUUUCUUGCGAAAACUAGAGAGGAGGUCCAAAGGAUCUUAUGUACCCAUUACCCAGCCCAAGUGAUGCUCCUGUACUUUUUCAAGGUUGGAGAGAAAUCGGUGUCGGAUGAGAAGCACAAAGUGCUGAUGUACACAGUCUUGCUGUGCCUGAAUGGAACUUAACUUGAGGGGAAUUAUGUCUUAACGCAAGAGGGCGCCCCUCUCGUAAAGCCAAGAAUAACCAACACUGAUACAGCAACAAUAUGACUGACUUCUGGCGUUCUUCCAUGUGUCCUCCAUUUAGCCUUGACCUUAAUCCCAUUGACUUUGCACUUUGCACCACCUCUCAUCCAUAUUUGGAUUCCCUCUGAGUUGCCAUCAUGAGAUUGUGAUGCCCCAUGGACAUGGCCUUAAUCGUCAAGAGCUGCCAAACUGUCGGUCAGUGUGUUGAGGCUGAUAUUACUUGUGAAGUAAGAUUUAUUCAUUUAAAUAUAUCACAAAUUGGUUUAAGUGUUUUGUAAUUGAGUAAUGCGUUUACAAGUAUUGAAUCCCCACUCCGUACAAAAUAUCAUAAAAUUUUCAACGAAGGAAGAAUCAUAUGAUCAUACAUAGAUUUCAUCUAACCAGACGUAUUUAUAGAGCUACUCAAACCAAUCAACCAACUCACAUUCCUAGCUUUAAUCACGUUUCAUAUUUAGUGAUGAAACUCGUAUGUAUUUUGGACAUUUUUAAAAUAGAACCCAAAAUCAACAUGGUAACCCUGACAAUUUGAGGAAUCUCGUAGA